CAACAGAUGACCAUAAAAAUUUCGCUAAACAAUUCCGAAUUCCAGUGACUUGAGCUGGGAAAUUCGAAAUUGUUCUUAUAGCUUUGUGAAGUGGGCUUGGAAUAGCCGACCUCGAGGAUGCAGACUUAUCUGGAAUUUAGCUCUUCUCAACUGCAAGCAGAAAAUCAAAAUGAUAUUGAAAUUGCUGCUCAGAACGCUGUGCUACAUG